rnacentral:rRNA from 1 species
GACGAACGCUGGCGGCGUGCCUAAUACAUGCAAGUCGAACGCAGUGGGGACGGGUGAGUACCACGUGGGUAACCUCCCAUCAGAGGGGAUAAAACAUGGAAACAGGUGCUAAACCGAUAUUGAAGGAUGGUCCCGCGGUGCAUUAGCUAGUUGGUGGGGUAACGGCCCACCAAGGCCACGAUGCAUAGCCAACCUGGGAGGGUGAUCGACCACAUUGGAACUGUGACACGGCCCAAACUCCUACGGGAGGCAGCAGUGGGGAAUCUUCGGCAAUGGACGGAAGUCUGACCGAGCAACGCCGCGUGAGUGAAGAAGGUUUUCGGAUCGUAAAACUAUGUUGUUAGGGAAGCGGUAUCUAUCCAGAAAGCCACGGCUAACUACGUGCCAGCAGCCGCGGUAAUAC